GUUAGGGUUGUUUCUCCUGGUCCAGACAGAGAGGCUGUUGUGUUAAUUGGGUCCAUGUGGUCUGUUAGGGUUGUUUCUCCUGGUCCAGACAGAGAGGCUGUAGUGUCAUUUGGGUCCAUGUGGUCUGUUAGGGUUGUUUCUCCUGGUCCAGACAGAGAGGCUGUAGUGUUAAUUGGGUCCAUGUGGUCUGUUAGGGUUGUUUCUCCUGGUCCAGACAGAGAGGCUGUAGUGUUAAUUGGG